GAUGAAGAACGCAGCGAAAUGGGAUAAGUAAUGUGAAUUGCAGAAUUCAGUGAAUCAUCGAAUCUUUGAACGCACAUUGCGCCCGGCAGUACUCUGCCGGGCAUGCCUGUUCGAGCGUCAUUUCAACCCUCAAGCCCUGCUUGGUGUUGGGGUCCCACGGCCGCCGUGGGCCCUGAAAGGAAGUGGCGGGCUCGCUACAACUCCGAGCGUAGUAAUUCAUUAUCUCGCUUAGGGCGUUGGGCGGCGCUCCUGCCGUUAAAGAACCAUCUUUAACUCAAGGUUGACCUCGGAUCAGGUAGGAAUACCCGCUGAACUUAAGCAUAUCAAUAAGCGGAGGA
rnacentral:misc_RNA from 1 species